GUCUAAAGCACCAAGAUUUUAAAUUCUUACUAGUAAAUAGUAAUUAGCUUUAGUAAUCUAAAGAAAAGAAUCAUGUAUAUGUUACUUACUUUUACUUUAUGAAGAACGUAGAAAUUAUGUUAAAUCUUUCUGUCAUAGAACAUUAAGGUUCUAUUUUCAUUUGCAUUCUCUAAUUCUCCAAAAACUAAUGGCAACCAGGUGGUAUCUCUACAUCUGUUUUAGAGGAGCUCUUCUUUGGCUUCACUGAAAAGCAUUUUUUUCUCUUAAGUAGAAGCUUAGAAUUCCUUGUUGGGUUAUGUGUUCUUAUUCUCCAAAUGGUAACAUCGAUGUAAAGAAAGAUUGUUGUUUUAAAACACUCUUGCCACUAUCUGCAUACCAGCUCUCAUAUUUGCUUUUGCUAAUAUGAUUGCCAGAGGUAAUCUGGAAAUUUAUUGUAUUAAUUAUUUGGUAUGGGUGGUGCAAGUGGAGUUCAAGAGCUUGCCAGAUUGGAUCAUACCUCAGUUCGGGUUGCAUGUUGGAUAAAAUGGUAUGAAGCUUGCUUGUGGUGCAGAGCAGGAGGAUUGUUUUAUGGAGUGAUGCUAUUUCCAUAGAGAUCGGAAAACUUAAUUGUACUGGUCUCUUUUGUUUGAUGUGAUUUGCUAGCAUCGUCAUGUUCUUGCUUAAUGAAUUACUUGCUUUUAACUAUAAAUAACUUCUGUUUGGAUUGCUGUAGACCUUGGAAGUUAUUAAACGGAUACCUUAUUUUCGUAUUUUGGACCCAACUUUAAAUUAUAUUCCUAUUUGAGUAGCUAACCCCAGUGUCUGAAAAAGUGUAUAUUUUAUGAGGGAUAUCAGAUUGGAAGGCUCGUGCAGAUGUGGCGAAAUUGUUAAAGAAUCUAAAGAAGGAGCUAACUUUACUUGUUGUCAGCCAUGACCUCAAGGAGUUGGCAUCUUUGGUCGAUCAAUCUUGGAGGAUGGAAAUGGGAGGAGUACUUAAAAGAGAGCCACUACCCAUUUAAUACUCGGGGAUUUAUUAUGUUCCCAGCCAUUAGUUUCUGAUGCAAUGGAUUAGGUAUUAGCACAGCUAUUAGGCCUCUUUAUUGUCGCGCUCUUUCAGUCAAGGCUGAUCCUAGUUAGACUGGGAAAACAAUAAGAAUUGAGUAGUAGUAAAUGAAGCUCAAAAGAUAAAAACGGCAUGGUGAGUUACCAUUGAAACAAGAGUGAAACUUUGAUCUUUCACUUUAAUUAGAGGUGUCAAAGCAGGUUGGGUUAAAGUCCCAAGCCGCCCAAAGUUUGCUUGGGUCAAGAUGGGUUGGUUUAGAAAGGGCUGAGAAGCGUGUCAUAACCCAAUCUGCCCAAGUAGACCAAAUAUAUUUGUCAUAGCUCACUAUGCAACCAAAGUCCUGUUUUUAAUUCAAACCAUGCAGAUCUUAAAUAUAAUGUAUGUGUAUUUUAGAUGAACAGAAGAAGACUUCGGAUUAUUCAAAUCAUAUGCUCAUAUGCAACUUUCUGUGUU